rnacentral:rRNA from 1 species
CCUACGGGUGGCUGCAGUCGAGAAUCUUCGGCAAUGGGCGAAAGCCUGACCGAGCGACGCCGCGUGCGGGAUGAAGGCCUUCGGGUUGUAAACCGCUGCGAUAGAACAGGCUGAUACUAGGAGGAAGGGUGGGCUAAGCUCGUGCCAGCAGCCGCGGUAAGACGAGCCACCCAAACGUUAUUCGGAAUUACUGGGCUUAAAGCGUGCGUAGACGGCCUGCAAAGUUGGGUGUGAAAUCCCUCGGCUUAACCGAGGAAUUGCGCUCAAAACUAGUAGGCUAGAGGGAGAUAGAGGUAAGCGGAACUGAUGGUGGAGCGGUGAAAUGUGUUGAUAUCAUCAGGAACACCGGUGGCGAAGGCGGCUUACUGGGUCUUCUGACGCUGAGGCACGAAAGCCAGGGUAGCGAACGGGAUUAGAUACCCUUGUAGUC